UAAACCUCACCCUUACUGUUUGUUCAGUAAGCGGUGCUUUGGGUGCUGCCAUUGGCUCGCCUUAAAUACCUAAGUGGAAUGCGUUAUAAGUUUUCGCACCCCUCCACUCUAAUACACUUUAUA
rnacentral:misc_RNA from 1 species